rnacentral:rRNA from 1 species
CCUACGGGAGGCAGCAGUGGGGAAUAUUGGGCAAUGGAGGAAACUCUGACCCAGCAACGCCGCGUGAAUGAUGAAGGUCUUCGGAUUGUAAAGUUCUUUUCUAAGGGAAGAAGAAAGUGACGGUACCUUAGGAAUAAGCCUCGGCUAACUACGUGCCAGCAGCCGCGGUAAUACGUAGGAGGCGAGCGUUAUCCGGAAUGACUGGGCGUAAAGGGUGCGUAGGUGGUUUGGCAAGUUAGUAGCGUAACUCCAAGGCUCAACCUUGGAACUACUACUAACACUGUUGGACUUGAGUGCAGGAGGGGCAACCGGAAUUCCUAGUGUAGCGGUGGAAUGCGUAGAUAUUACGAGGAACCCCGAUUGCGAAGGCAGCCUGCCGGGGUGCGACUGACGCUGAGGCUCGAAGGUGCGGGUAUCAAACAGGAUUAGAUACCCCUGUAGUC